rnacentral:rRNA from 2 species
CCAACUGAUUGAUGGUGCUUGCCUGAUUGACGAUGGAUCACCAGUGAGUGGCGGACGGGUGAGUAACACGUAGGUAACCUGCCCCGGAGCGGGGAAUAACAUUUGGAAACAGAUGCUAAUACCGCAUAACAACAAAAGCCACAUGGUUUUUGUUUGAAAGAUGGCUUUGGCUAUCACUCUGGGAUGGACCUGCGGUGCAUUAGCUAGUUGGUAAGGUAACGGCUUACCCAAGGCGAUGAUGCAUAGCCGAGUUGAGAGACUGAUCGGCCACAAUGGAACUGAGACACGGUCCAUAACUCCUACGGGAGGCAGCAGUAGGGAAUCUUCCACAAUGGGCGCAAGCUGAUGGAGCAACACCGCGUGAGUGAAAAAGGGUUUCGGCUCGUAAAGCUCUGUUGUUGGAGAAGAACGUGCGUGAGAGUAACUGUUACGCAGUGACGGUAUCCAACCAGAAAGUCACGGCUAACUACGUGCCAGCAGCCGCGGUAAUACGUAGGUGGCAAGCGUUAUCCGGAUUUAUUGGGCGUAAAGCGAGCGCAGGCGGUUGCUUAGGUCUGAUGUGAAAGCCUUCGGCUUAACCGAAGAAGUGCAUCGGAAACCGGGCGACUUGAGUGCAGAAGAGGACAGUGGAACUCCAUGUGUAGCGGUGGAAUGCGUAGAUAUAUGGAAGAACACCAGUGGCGAAGGCGGCUGUCUGGUCUGCAACUGACGCUGAGGCUCGAAAGCAUGGGUAGCGAACAGGAUUAGAUACCCUGGUAGUCCAUGCCGUAAACGAUGAGUGCUAGGUGUUGGAGGGUUUCCGCCCUUCAGUGCCUGUUCUAACGCAUUAAU